AUUGAACGCUGGCGGCAGGCUUAACACAUGCAAGUCGGACGGUAGCAGGAGAAAGCUUGCUUUCUUGCUGACGAGUGGCGGACGGGUGAGUAAUGCUUGGGGAUCUGUCUUAUGGAGGGGGAUAACGACGGGAAACUGUCGCUAAUACCGCGUAGAGUCGGGAGACGAAAGUGCGGGACCUUAGGGCCGCAUGCCAUGAGAUGAGCCCAAGUGUGAUUAGGUAGUUGGUGGGGUAAAGGCCUACCAAGCCGACGAUCGCUAGCUGGUCUGAGAGGAUGGCCAGCCACACCGGGACUGAGACACGGCCCGGACUCCUACGGGAGGCAGCAGUGGGGAAUAUUGCGCAAUGGGGGCAACCCUGACGCAGCCAUGCCGCGUGAAUGAAGAAGGCCUUCGGGUUGUAAAGUUCUUUCGGUGAUGAGGAAGGUUGGUGUGUUAAUAGCAUGCCAACUUGACGUUAAAUACAGAAGAAGCAC
rnacentral:rRNA from 1 species